GACGAACGCUGGCGGCGUGCUUAACACAUGCAAGUCGAACGGAAAGGCCCUGCUUUUGUGGGGUGCUUGAGUGGCGAACGGGUGAGUAACACGUGAGUAACCUGCCCUUGACUUUGGGAUAACUUCAGGAAACUGGGGCUAAUACCGGAUAGGAGCUCCUGCUGCAUGGUGGGGGUUGGAAAGUUUCGGCGGUUGGGGAUGGACUCGCGGCUUAUCAGCUUGUUGGUGGGGUAGUGGCUUACCAAGGCUUUGACGGGUAGCCGGCCUGAGAGGGUGACCGGCCACAUUGGGACUGAGAUACGGCCCAGACUCCUACGGGAGGCAGCAGCGGGGAAUAUUGCACAAUGGGCGGAAGCCUGAUGCAGCAACGCCGCGUGCGGGAUGACGGCCUUCGGGUUGUAAACCGCUUUCGCCUGUGACGAAGCGUGAGUGACGGUAAUGGGUAAAGAAGCACCGGCUAACUACGUG
rnacentral:rRNA from 1 species